GGCGAACGGGUGAGUAACACGUGAGUAACCUGCCCCUGACUCUGGGAUAAGCGUUGGAAACGACGUCUAAUACUGGAUAUGAUCACUGGCCGCAUGGUCUGGUGGUGGAAAGAUUUUUUGGUUGGGGAUGGACUCGCGGCCUAUCAGCUUGUUGGUGAGGUAAUGGCUCACCAAGGCGACGACGGGUAGCCGGCCUGAGAGGGUGACCGGCCACACUGGGACUGAGACACGGCCCAGACUCCUACGGGAGGCAGCAGUGGGGAAUAUUGCACAAUGGGCGAAAGCCUGAUGCAGCAACGCCGCGUGAGGGAUGACGGCCUUCGGGUUGUAAACCUCUUUUAGUAGGGAAGAAGCGAAAGUGACGGUACCUGCAGAAAAAGCACCGGCUAACUACGUGCCAGCAGCCGCGGUAAUACGUAGGGUGCAAGCGUUGUCCGGAAUUAUUGGGCGUAAAGAGCUCGUAGGCGGUUUGUCGCGUCUGCUGUGAAAUCCCGAGGCUCAACCUCGGGCUUGCAGUGGGUACGGGCAGACUAGAGUGCGGUAGGGGAGAUUGGAAUUCCUGGUGUAGCGGUGGAAUGCGCAGAUAUCAGGAGGAACACCGAUGGCGAAGGCAGAUCUCUGGGCCGUAACUGACGCUGAGGAGCGAAAG
rnacentral:rRNA from 1 species